AGAGUUUGAUCCUGGCUCAGAACGAACGCUGGCGGCGCGCCUAACACAUGCAAGUCGAACGCGAAAGUGUAGCAAUACAUGAGUAAAGUGGCGCACGGGUGAGUAACACGUAGGUGAUCUAGCUUUGUGACCGGGAUAACCAGUCGAAAGAUUGGCUAAUACUGGAUAGAGCGCAGAUGCCAUAAUGGUAUUUGCGGGAAAAGGUGGCAGUAGCAAUACUGCUUUUGCACUGAGAUGAGCCUGCGUCCCAUCAGCUAGUUGGUAGGGUAACGGCCUACCAAGGCAAUGACGGGUAGCUGGUCUGAGAGGACGAUCAGCCACACUGGAACUGAAACACGGUCCAGACUCCUACGGGAGGCAGCAGUGGGGAAUCUUGCGCAAUGGGCGAAGGCCUGACGCAGCGACGCCGCGUGGGUGAAGAAGGCCUUCGGGUUGUAAAGCCCUGUCGAGAGGGAAAAACGGCAGUACGAAUAAUACGCGUACUGCGUGAUGGUACCUCUAGAGGAAGCACCGGCUAACUUCGUGCCAGCAGCCGCGGUAAUACGAGGGGUGCAAGCGUUGUUCGGAAUUAUUGGGCGUAAAGGGCAGGUAGGUGGUCUUGUAAGUCUACUGUGAAAUCCCCGGGCUUAACCCGGGACGUGCGGUGGAUACUGCAAGACUAGAGUGCUGGAGGGGUUCGUGGAAUACCCGGUGUAGCGGUGAAAUGCGUAGAUAUCGGGUGGAACACCAGAGGCGAAGGCGGCGAACUUGACAGUAACUGACACUCAACUGCGAAAGCGUGGGGAGCAAACAGGAUUAGAUACCCUGAUAGUCCACGCUGUAAACGAUGAAUGCUAGACGUGGUGGGUCUUGACCCCCGCCGUGUCGAAGUUAACACGAUAAGCAUUCCGCCUGGGGAGUACGGUCGCAAGACUAAAACUCAAAGGAAUUGACGG
rnacentral:rRNA from 1 species